GGGGGGGGUAAGCGUUGUUCGGAAUUACUGGGCGUAAAGGGCUCGUAGGCGGCCAACUAAGUCGGACGUGAAAUCCCUCAGCUUAACUGGGGAACUGCGUCCGAUACUGGAUGGCUUGGAUCCGGAAGAGGGAUGCGGAAUUCCAGGUGUAGCGGUGAAAUGCGUAGAUAUCUGGAGGAACACCGGUGGCGAAGGCGGCAUCCUGGGCCGGUAUUGACGCUGAGGAGCGAAAGCCAGGGGAGCAAACGGGAUUAGAUACCCCGGUAGUCCUGGCCCUAAACGAUGAAUGCUUGGUGUAGCGGGUAUCGAUCCCUGCUGUGCCGAAGCUAACGCAUUAAGCAUUCCGCCUGGGGAGUACGGUCGCAAGGCUGAA
rnacentral:rRNA from 1 species